rnacentral:rRNA from 1 species
GACGAACGCUGGCGGCGUGCUUAACACAUGCAAGUCGAACGAUGAUGCCCAGCUUGCUGGGUGGAUUAGUGGCGAACGGGUGAGUAACACGUGAGUAACCUGCCCCUGACUCUGGGAUAAGCGUUGGAAACGACGUCUAAUACUGGAUAUGACUGCCGGCCGCAUGGUCUGGUGGUGGAAAGAUUUUUUGGUUGGGGAUGGACUCGCGGCCUAUCAGCUUGUUGGUGAGGUAAUGGCUCACCAAGGCGACGACGGGUAGCCGGCCUGAGAGGGUGACCGGCCACACUGGGACUGAGACACGGCCCAGACUCCUACGGGAGGCAGCAGUGGGGAAUAUUGCACAAUGGGCGAAAGCCUGAUGCAGCAACGCCGCGUGAGGGAUGACGGCCUUCGGGUUGUAAACCUCUUUUAGUAGGGAAGAAGCGAAAGUGACGGUACCUGCAGAAAAAGCACCGGCUAACUACGUGCCAGCAGCCGCGGUAACAC